rnacentral:rRNA from 1 species
UGGACCCGCAAUACGUCGACCCGGGGGAUUCAACCAGGCCGUUGGGCACGGGACGCGCGGGGGUUUUGCUGAGCUGUAAAGCCAGUGCCUUCGCGUGGGUCUCCGGGCGGACUGGUGCACUUUCCUCGGGUCGAUUGCCACGACCGGCUCUCCGUGCGGCCAAAAGCCUGUCGCUGGGAAGGUGACCGACGGCCCCAGUGCCGGCGGUGUUAUAGCCCAGCUCGUUCGUUGCGCUCGUCGGAGGGCCGAGGAAGUGUUGCCGCCUCUCAAUCACCCUCCGGCCAUCCUUGCUCGUCACGACUGGGGUGGACUGCUUCGUCAGUGCUCUCCCGACCGCGAGCGUAGGAAGGGUUGGAACGGUGCGAGAAGCUUCGGGCCAGUGGCGAAUCGGUCGGGUCUCCACCCGACCCGUCUUG